rnacentral:lncRNA from 1 species
GCAAGUGAAGCAGACCCACGUGGGAAAGUGAAGUGUCGCUCCUCCUUCUGCAAAGACUCCAUCUCAUCACCGCCCCCACUCCCACCCCUUCCACCCAUCGCUAUCAUGCCCAUGCGUGAAGACACCAGAGAACAAACAGAUGCACCAUCAAUUUACAUAGGGAGGAGAGGUCUAUAAAUGGUCCAGGAUGGGUACCAGGAUGGCAAGAGACACAGUAACUUCUCACAGAUCGGAUCCCCUAAAGAGCUGUGUUUGCCAGUGCAGUUCCCCGGGGACGGCAACGUCAGCAGAGCUGAGACCCUCCUCCAACUCAGCCGAGAAGAGAUUCAACGGUGUGAGUUACCAGGUGCUGGGGAGAACAGCAAGAUGCUCAGCUGUGCCAGGGGAUGGUGACUCAGUGUCCAGAGGUGAGCUUGAAAAACAGAGGAGCCCAAAAAUUCACUGGUAGAAAUUUUUUUCUCAAGUGCUCUAUCUAAGAAAAAUCCCACCAUAAUCACAAGUCUCUGAGUUAUUUUUACCCUGAUCCCCGACUUCCACUCUCUCUCGCCCUCAUCCACCCUCUCCCUCUCUCCCCUCCUCUCUCUCUUUCUCUCUCUCUCUCUCUCCUAGGAAAGUUACAGCUUCCAGUACAAAGUGAAUAGCUUUACUAGCGGCUACAAUAUUGUUAUAAACUCAAGAGCGAGACGAUCUCUCUCAGAGUGUGUCUAAGCAUGACUACCUCACCUGGGGAUCCUAGCCACAGACCAUUUAUGUUAAACCAUCUUCAUUUCUGCUCUAGGAAAACCACAAGAUACUGAAACUCUCCAAGCCGUGGUCAUUCAUUUGUUUCUCAUCUUGCUUCCGGGUCAGUGCCAGUCCCUCAACUAUAAAAGCAUUUCCAUUGUUUUCCUCUGUGAUGACCAGCAAAGUUCCAUUUUAGGCAACAGAUCCCCGCCUCAACCACCAUCUCUAACUGUACUCAUUCAAUAGUAUUUAUUCAUUCAAUAGUAUUUAUUGAGUGCUUACUAUGUGCAGAGCACUGUACUAAGCGCUUGGAAUAAACAAGUCGGCAACAGAUACAGUCCCUGCCAUUUGACGGGCUUACAGUCUAAUCGGGGGAGACGGACAGACGAGAACAAUGGCAAUAAAUAGAGUCAAGGGGAAGAAUAUCUCGUAAAAACAAUGACAACUAAAUAGAAUCGAGGUGAUGUACAUUUCAUUAACAAAAUAAAUAGGGUAAUGAAAAUAUAUACAGCUGAGCGGACGAGUACAGUGCUGAGGGGAUGGGCAGGGAGAGGGGGAGGAGCAGAGGGAGAUGGGGGGAAAAGAGGGUUAAUCUGCGGAGAGGUGAAGGGGGGGGGGUGGUAGAGGGAGUAGAGGGAGAAGAGGAGCUCAGUCUGGGAAGGCCUCUUGGAGGAGGUAAGUUUUAAGUAGGGUACGUAACCCGCUCGUUCAUCUCUCCGGUCACCCUGUAGAACGGAGGCGGACUGCUGACUGCAUUGUACACGGAGUGAUGCCAUUUGAUGUC